UUAAUUUCCUGCUUUGAACUAAUUGAUGACUCUUUUAUGCAUUUUCUUUUGUCGAGCAGCGUAUGGCAAACUUUCAUCAAGGAAGAUACGUCCCGUGAAUGGACACCGAAGCUGCGAUGGCGUGCGAAAAAAUGCCCGCAACAACCUCCGGGGACCGAUCUCUGUGGAUUCUUCGUUUGCGAGUACAUCCGCAGAAUUGUCAGCGAGAGAACGAAUAAUGAAAGAAAUAAAGAGUUGGCAAGAAAGCGGAACAAGCUCUCAAUCGAUGACCGCUUCAUAGCAAUAGGCGAGGAAUUGGCGGGAUUUUUCCUUCGGGACGUCAUACCACCACUCGCAGAGUACCACUAUGAAUGAAGAUGUACAUGUUACAUAUAUAGUUGACUCGAAGAGU